AGCUUAUUCUUAAUCAACCUAUUCUAGAAUUCCUUGGUUCUUGGACUUGACAAAGUAAAUCCCAGAUGAGUACUUCGGCGGUUGAAGUUAGUGGUGAAAAGGUGAAAGCAAUGUUGAUAAGAGAUUGACAGAAAAAUUUUGUGAUAUUUGUAUUAAAGAGAUAUUGAAAGGCAAUAGGCCCGGUACUCAUUUCACAAAAGAUGGAUGGUUGGAAAUAAUGACCAACUUUGAGAAAGAAACGGGAAAGGAUUUUUCACAAAGACAACUUAAAAAUAGGUGGGAUGCCCUAAAAAAAGAAUGGAAAGCUUGGAAGAAACUUAAAGGCGAAGAUACUGGUCCAAGGUGGAAUCCUAUAAAAAGAACUGUUGAUGCAUCGGGUGAUUGGUGGGAGAGUAGGCUACAGGUACAUUAAUAAUUCUAAAUAUUUUUGUUUUUUCUUAUUUAUGAGGUUAUUGAUAAUUGCUGUUAUUAAACUAUCAUUUUAAAUGUAGGUUGUGCCUGAAGCUCAAAAAUUUCGUACUUUAGGCAUUGAUCCCAAAUUCAAAGGGAAGUUGGAUCCAAUGUUCAUGGGGAUAGUUGCAACAGGUGAUAAAGCAUGGGCACCUUUUUCUGGUACACUCUAGACUGAUUUUUUUGAGGAUGUUACCAACGAAAUACCUGAAGAGAAUGAAGAAGAAAAUAUAAGAAAUGAUGUUCACAUUUUAAAUGAUGGUCACAUUUCAAAUGAUGUUCACAUUUCAAAUGAUGUUCAAAUUGAUGGGAACGGUCAAAAAAGAAAAAACCCUGAGAUAUCAAGUUCACAUUUUAAAACUGGAAGAAAGAAAUCCUCGAAGCAAAUUGAAGGGGCUGCAAGAUUGUCCAGUCAAAUAGAAAAAUUAUGCAAUGCAGCUGACAAUAUGAGUCAAGCCACAUCUAGUUUGACUCCUGUUAUGGAUCCAUAUGGUAUUCCACAAGUAGUCAAAGUGCUUGACAGCAUGUCAGAAGAAGUUCCAGAAGCUAGUCCGCUAUACUUUUUUGCACUUAAAUUAUUGCUCAAUAAGGACAAGCGAAUUAUGUUUUUAUCAAUUAAUCCCAAGAUUAGAGCUUUGUGGCUUAAGUCAGAAAUGGAGGAUAGUUGAGCAUUUUCUGAUUUUCUAGGGUUCAGAGAUAUCUAUUAUGUGACAAAACAACAAUGCUAAACUAGUUUUAUCAAUAGUUAUUUAUGUUUGGUUUUUGGAUAUUGAA